AGCUGGUCAGAGAGGAUGACCAGCGACACUGGAACUGAGACACGGUCCAGACUCCUACGGGAGGCAGCAGUGGGGAAUAUUGCACAAUGGGGGGAACCCUGAUGCAGCCAUGCCGCGUGAAUGAAGAAGGCCUUCGGGUAGUAAAGUUCUUUCGGUGACGAGGAAGGCGAUUGUUUUAAUAGAACAGUCGAUUGACGUUAAUCACAGAAGAAGCACCGGCUAACUCCGUGCCAGCUGCCGCGGUAAUACGGGGGGUGCGAGCGUUAAUCGGAAUAACUGGGCGUAAAGGGCACGCAGGCGGUUGUUUAAGUGAGGUGUGAAAGCCCCGGGCUUAACCUGGGAAUUGCAUUUCAGACUGAACAACUAGAGUACUUUAGGGAGGGGUAGAAUUCCACGUGUAGCGGUGAAAUGCGUAGAGAUGUGGAGGAGUACCGAAGGCGAAGGCAGCCCCUUGGAAAUGUACUGACGCUCAUGUGCGAAAGCGUGGGGAGCAAACAGGAUUAGAUACCCAGGUAGUCCACGCCGUAAACGCUGUCGAUUUGGGGAUUGGGGUUUAACUC
rnacentral:rRNA from 1 species